UACGAAGGGGGCUAGCGUUGUUCGGAAUCACUGGGCGUAAAGCGCACGUAGGCGGAUGAUUAAGUCAGGGGUGAAAUGCCAAGGCUCAACCUUGGAACUGCCUUUGAUACUGGCCAUCUGGAGUCCGGGAGAGGUGAGUGGAACUGCGAGUGUAGAGGUGAAAUUCGUAGAUAUUCGCAAGAACACCAGUGGCGAAGGCGGCUCACUGGCCCCGGUACUGACGCUGAGGUGCGAAAGCGUGGGGAGCAAACAGG
rnacentral:rRNA from 1 species